GAUGAACGCUGGCGGCGUGCCUAAUACAUGCAAGUCGAGCGAACGGACGAGAAGCUUGCUUCUCUGAUGUUAGCGGCGGACGGGUGAGUAACACGUGGAUAACCUACCUAUAAGACUGGGAUAACUUCGGGAAACCGGAGCUAAUACCGGAUGAUAUUUUGAACCGCAUGGUUCAAAAGUGAAAGACGGUCUUGCUGUCACUUAUAGAUGGAUCCGCGCUGCAUUAGCUAGUUGGUAAGGUAACGGCUUACCAAGGCAACGAUGCAUAGCCGACCUGAGAGGGUGAUCGGCCACACUGGAACUGAGACACGGUCCAGACUCCUACGGGAGGCAGCAGUAGGGAAUCUUCCGCAAUGGGCGAAAGCCUAACGGAGCAACGCCGCGUGAGUGAUGAAGGUCUUCGGAUCGUAAAACUCUGUUAUUAGGGAAGAACAUAUGUGUAAGUAACUGUGCACAUCUUGACGGUACCUAAUCAGAAAGCCACGGCUAACUACGUG
rnacentral:rRNA from 1 species